rnacentral:rRNA from 1 species
CCUACGGGUGGCAGCAGUGGGGAAUUUUGGACAAUGGGGGCAACCCUGAUCCAGCAAUGCCGCGUGUGUGAAGAAGGCCUUCGGGUUGUAAAGCACUUUUGUCCGGGAAGAAAUCCCUUGGAUGAAUAAUCCAGGGGGAUGACGGUACUGGAAGAAUAAGCACCGGCUAACUACGUGCCAGCAGCCGCGGUAAUACGUAGGGUGCGAGCGUUAAUCGGAAUUACUGGGCGUAAAGCGUGCGCAGGCGGUUGUGCAAGACAGAUGUGAAAUCCCCGGGCUUAACCUGGGAACUGCAUUUGUGACUGCACGGCUAGAGUGUGUCAGAGGGGGGUAGAAUUCCACGUGUAGCAGUGAAAUGCGUAGAGAUGUGGAGGAAUACCGAUGGCGAAGGCAGCCCCCUGGGAUAACACUGACGCUCAUGCACGAAAGCGUGGGGAGCA